GAGUAAUGUGGUCCGUCAGAUUCGCAUGGGAUCAGUUGAUUAACUUGCUGCUUGUAACUUGAUUAUAGAUAAGAUAGAUCUUAUAUACUGCAGAGACUGUAGGCCUCCGAUAUAUGAAUUCACAGAAUUGCUGAUCACCACUAAAUUAAGAAAAGUACUCAAAUGGCGCCCAUAUGACUUGCCAAGGGAGGGUGAGGAACGCAAGGGUCUUGAAGGGCUGCAAGUGAGAAGUUGAGUGUGUGAUAUCGUUUGUUGUUGUUUCAGAAAGUAGUUAGUCUUCUCUCAAAGAGAAAGAAGAUAGUUAAUCUACAGUUCUACAUACUGUUAUGCUGAAGACUAACUUAGCACAUCCUACCUGCUAGACUGAGAAUUUGUGCAUUUUAGCUCAUUAAUGUCAUCAGUCCUCUUUCUUAUAGGGACUAUUCUGUUGUUGGAGGAUUUGACAUGAAAAUGGUGCAGCAUUCGUCUUGAUUCUUUUCGUCACUAAGUUGAUAAAGAGUGUUGAUUAUAAAAUUCUUGGCUUCUAUGGAAAUAACAAGAAAUAAACAAGUGGUUAUUAUUGGUUCUGGUAUCGAACCUAGGAUGGGUCAGUAUUAGACUUUUGGUUCAGAACCUAUGCCAUUGCUAAUCAACAUAAUUUGCUUCAUUUUUUUUUAUUCACUGAUGCCCGGGAUUUGCUGUAUGGAUGACUAUGAUGGCAAUGUGAAAAGUAGUGUAUUUUAGGAAAGAAAUGGUGUAUGUAUUUUUUUUUUUGUAAUUUAAUUAUCUUAGUAUAAAGGCUAUCUUACCCUUACCUUCCUCUGUAGAUUUUGCUUUCUUGCUUACAAAUUAGUUUCCAUCAAACAGUACUCAACUCACAAGUACCAAAUAGUUUUCAUUAAAC